UAGGUAAUCUUCGGCAAUGGGGGCAACCCUGACCGAGCAACGCCGCGUGAGUGAAGAAGGUUUUCGGAUCGUAAAGCUCUGUUGUAAGAGAAGAACGUGUGUGAGAGUGGAAAGUUCACACAGUGACGGUAACUUACCAGAAAGGGACGGCUAACUACGUGCCAGCAGCCGCGGUAAUACGUAGGUCCCGAGCGUUGUCCGGAUUGAUUGGGCGUAAAGCGAGCGCAGGCGGUUUAAUAAGUCUGAAGUUAAAGGCAGUGGCUUAACCAUUGUUCGCUUUGGAAACUGUUAAACUUAAGUGCAGAAGGGGAGAGUGGAAUUCCAUGUGUAGCGGUGAAAUGCGUAGAUAUAUGGAGGAACACCGGUGGAGAAAGAGGCUCUCUGGUCUGUAACUGACGCUGAGGCUCGAAAGCGUGGGGAGCAAACAGG
rnacentral:rRNA from 1 species